CUGUUAAUCAAGUCUCACUCAAAUCAUCAAAUAUUCGCUUAACUAAAUUCAUCACCAUACUAAAGUUGCUCAAUCCAUCAAUCCCUGUGGGAUCGACCUCACUCUUGUGAGUUAUUACUACUUGAUGCAACCUGAUACACUUGCUGGUGGUUCUGUUUUUUGAAAAUAUGGGCUUGGAUAAAGAAACUAUUGGGAGAAUUAUUUUUCGCUACCAGCAUUAAUAAAACUCUUUAGAGGAAGAUUGAAUUCCUUUCUAGUGUUGGCGUUUUUCAAGCUUAUUUUCCUGGGAUAAUUAGAAAAUAUCCGAAAUUACUUGUAACCAACAUUGAUACAACUAUAUUGUAUCCGGAUAUUUUUGGUUCACUAAGUAUAUAAAUAUUUAUUUUUUUAUGGUAA